UGUAAUCGAUGGGACUCACUUGAG
rnacentral:siRNA from 1 species